GAUGAACGCUGGCGGCGUGCCUAAUACAUGCAAGUCGAGCGAACGGACGAGAAGCUUGCUUUUCUGAUGUUAGCGGCGGACGGGUGAGUAACACGUGGAUAACCUACCUAUAAGACUGGGAUAACUUCGGGAAACCGGAGCUAAUACCGGAUAAUAUUUUGAACCGCAUGGUUCAUUAGUGAAAGACGGUCUUGCUGUCACUUAUAGAUGGAUCCGCGCUGCAUUAGCUAGUUGGUAAGGUAACGGCUUACCAAGGCAACGAUGCAUAGCCGACCUGAGAGGGUGAUAGGCCACACUGGAACUGAGACACGGUCCAGACUCCUACGGGAGGCAGCAGUAGGGAAUCUUCCGCAAUGGGCGAAAGCCUGACGGAGCAACGCCGCGUGAGUGAUGAAGGUCUUCGGAUCGUAAAACUCUGUUAUUAGGGAAGAACAUAUGUGUAAGUAACUGUACACAUCUUGACGGUACCUAAUCAGAAAGCCACGGCUAACUACGUG
rnacentral:rRNA from 1 species